UCAUGGGCCGUGUGUGUUUGCAAAAGGACGUGUGUGGCAGUGACAGCAGCGGGAGCCCCGGGGGAGGCCCCCCGGGGACACGUGUCCACCACCUGGGCUCCCGUGCCCGCUGAGCUCUGGGAGGCAGUGGCUGCUAAAAUACAGAUUCCUAGGCCCCAGACCAUCAUCCUGAAGCCAAAUUGCCAGAGUCAGGCCCAGGACUCUAGAGUUUCUUUGAGGGUCUCCCAGACACUUCUGGUGAGCAGCCAGGCUUGGAAACUCCUGUGCAGCCCACCCAGCCCCAGUGCCUCUGGAUUCAUCUGCAGUGGCUGGAACCCCGUUCUCCAGUUGUUCACCCCAGCAUUCUGAGGCCAGGACUGGGCUGCUUUACAUUUCAGAAAGGCAUGUUGGGGCUGGGAGAAAGCAGACUUGCCAUCUGGAAAAGCUGUCCCAGGCCUGUGCUUUCGGGACCUGAAGCCACAGCGCACUGCGUGCACCUUAGCCUUGCAUCGUGCAGCGUGGCUGCGAUCUUCAUUCCCAGCAACCCUCCUUCCUGGGCCUGGUGAUCACCGUCCUCUUCUGUAGCACCAGGGACCUUAGCAGAGCCCCUGUGUCCCGCGUCUGUCCAGUGCCUGCAAAAAGAGAACCAUGGGACAAAACCCCCAUUGCACAGAUGGGGAGGGCAGCCAGAGAAGGGACCAUUGACCUGGGUCACCCCGAGAGUUGAUGGCAGCCCUUACCACCUGCAUCGUGUGGUGUUUUGAUCUCCCGGAGGGCAGCUUACAAUCCCAGACUCUCCAAGUGACAGAGAGGGCCCAUUCUGUCCAAGUCCACAUGCCCCCCAAUUUACAGAUGAGGACCCUGAGGUCUGGAAAGAUGAGGUGACUUUUUGGAUGGCUCAAAGAGGAGCAAUGGAGUGACUGGGGAAGAACAAUUGGUUAAUCAAGAGGUAAGACCUUUCCACGCUGGUCUCACAUCAUACAUGAAUUUAAUUUAACUGAGUUAAGAUCCACUUAACUAAACACAUUUGCCCCUCACACCCCAAAGGGGACAUUAUAUGAUGGGGAAAUCCCCACACCACUCACUUUGAAGGUGUCUCUUCCAAGCCAAACCCUCCCGUUGGGUCCCACGUGUCUCUGAGUAGGAGCACCUGGUUCCUCCCUCUGCCUGUGAGUGUCCCACUCCACUGUGUGGCCCCUAAACACAAGACUUUACUGUAUCUGGAGCUUGACAGGAGAAACAGCGAUCCGUCCCAACGCAGGAGGAAAAACUGGCUGUGCUGAAAUUAUUGAGAAAUAGUGGUUGGCUCCAACAUGACGGCUUCCCAAGGAAUUUUCAAGGCCAUUUUGACUCUUAAGCGAUUUUGCCCUUAAGGACCUGUCCUCUGCAAAAGAUGCAAUCCCACUGGCUCUCCAGCAACUAGAAAAGAAACAAGAGACCUGAUAUUUUUAAAUCUUUUUACCAAAGUAUAAACUACAUGCACAAAAAUGCACAUAUGUUAAGUAUACAGCCCAACAAAUGGUCACCAAGUGAACACACCCCAGUAGCUAACCCCCUCCUAUUUAGUCCCCCCUCAAAGGUAACCACUACCCUAACUUAUCUCUCCAUAGAUUACUCUCACCUAUUCUUGUACUUUUUCUAUAAAAGGCAUCUUGUAGGAUGCACUCUGCCUGCUGAGCUUCCUUCACCCGGCUUAGUAUUGGUGAGGUUCAUCCAUGUUGUCUUGUGUAGCAGUAGUUUAUUUAUUCUCCUUAAUGUUUUUCAUUCCACGUGUGCCUGUACCACAAUUCAUUUAUCCAUUUUACUGUUGAUGAUUUAUCAAUUAGUUAUUGCUGGGAAACAAAGCCUCCCAUAGCUCAGUGGCUUAAAACAGCAACCAUUUAUUUAGCACGUGCUUCCAGAAGUAGAUGUGGACUGGGAUCAGCUUGGUGGUUCUUCUGCCCUGGGAUGGGCUUGGCUGAUCUUGGCUGGGUUUGCUAAGUGUCUGCCUUCCACAGCUAGGGCUGGCUGGUCUCAGAUGAAGCCAGCUCUGAAAAUUCAUCUCUGCUUCACCCAUCACUCAUCCUCCAGCAGGCUAGCCUGGACUUUUCACACAGCAACUGCAA
rnacentral:lncRNA from 10 species